rnacentral:rRNA from 1 species
UACGAAGGGGACUAGCGUUGUUCGGAAUCACUGGGCGUAAAGCGCAAGUAGGCUGUUAGGUAAGUUAGAUGUGAAAUCCUCGCUUUCAAGGUGAGAACUGCAUUUAAAACUGCCUAGCUAGAGCACAGAAGGGGAUAAUAGAAUUCCAAGUGUAGCAGUGGAAUGCGUAGAUAUUUGGAGGAAUACCAGAAGCGAAGGCGUUUAUCUGGUCUGUGGCUGACGCUGAGUUGCGAAAGUAUGGGGAGCAAACAGG